rnacentral:misc_RNA from 1 species
GAUGAAGAACGUAGCGAAAUGCGAUAAGUAGUGUGAAUUGCAGAAUUCAGUGAAUCAUCGAAUCUUUGAACGCACAUUGCGCCCUCUGGUAUUCCGGGGGGCAUGCCUGUUCGAGCGUCAUUUCACCACUCAAGCCUGGCUUGGUGUUGGGCGACGUCCCCUUUGGGGACGCGCCUCGAAACGCUCGGCGGCGUGGCACCGGCUUUAAGCGUAGCAGAAUCUUUCGCUUUGGAAGUCGGGGCCCCGUCUGCCGGAAGACCUACUCGCAAGGUUGACCUCGGAUCAGGCAGGGAUACCCGCUGAACUUAAGCAUAUCAAUAAGCGGAGGA